GGGGCGCGGCCGCCGCCCGCUAAUGAGGGUAAUUGCGAGGCGUGACCCUGGGCUCCAGGUGGAAAAAAAAAGGGGGGGGGAGGCAGGGAAACGCUGCGGGGCGUCGAACGCCUUUACCGCUCACGUGCGGCGCUGAGAGGCGAGGGCUGGUGUCGUCGCUCGUCUCGUAGGGGCAGCCCUGGCACUGGGGCCGCGGCCAAGCACCAGGGGCCGCGGGGCACGAAAUGGCGGCCCGGGGGCGGCCUCUGGAGCUAGGGCCGCGGGGCGCGAAAUGGCGGCGCUGGCUAGGCCUCGCGGACCUCGCCUGGGCGCGGAGCCGCAGCGGCGGCAGCUGUGUGAGCCCAGAUGUUUAUCACAGAAGCAAACAGAAAUGGAAGAAGGAAUGCGAACAUCAGAGAUGGAGAAGAUCUGGCGAGAAGAAAUUCCUUUUUUCCUGCACUGAAUCUUCCACUUCUCUCCAAACCUGCGCUCUGCUCUGCUCGUCUGUUCCUAGUGUGCCUUUCCAUAAGACUGGCUCCUGCCUGAGGCAGGCAAAGUCUGCUUUCAGCUGA
rnacentral:lncRNA from 1 species